rnacentral:rRNA from 1 species
UACGUAGGUGGCGAGCGUUGUCCGGAUUUACUGGGCGUAAAGAGCGCGCAGGCGGUCGUCCAAGUCGCGUGUGAAAGCCCCCGGCUCAACUGGGGAGGGUCACGCGAUACUGAUCGACUCGAAGGCAGGAGAGGGAAGCGGAAUUUCCGGUGGAGCGGUGAAAUGCGUAGAGAUCGGAAAGAACACCAACGGCGAAAGCGCUCUGCUGGGCCGACACUGACACUGAGAGACGAAAGCUAGGGGAGCGAAUGGG